GAGAUUUAUUAAGGGUAUUUUUAGCAUUUAAAGCAAAAUACAGCCAAGGAUGGAAAGAGUAGGAAGGUUAGCAUGCAUGACAAAGGAUUGUCUGAAGAAAGCAGAGCCCCUAUUUUGGUGAAAUUUUGCUCUUCUCUCUCUCCAUCCCUCUCAAAAAACCUCAGACUCUCUCACUCUGUCUCUCUGAAAGACUUCAACUUUCUCCAUUUCCACACCGCAAACCGCAACUCAAGAUCUGAAGUUAUCAACUUUGCAGAAGAAAGAAAAAGGAAAAGGUAUGGCUGGAAACCAAGGAAAUGACAUCGUUCCGAUGGAGAAGGAGAAGCUGAUGAAGAAAAUACAGAAAGCAGAAUAUAAGAUUUCAAAGCACCAAAAGCGAAUCACUUCUGGAGUGUCAACUUGGGUGAAACAUGUCAUCCUCUGCCUUGGCUUCCAAGUAGGAUUUACUUGGACCUUGACCGGCAACAGAGUUUGGAGAUGCUCGGACUACUUUCUCUUCCUUGGGUGCUAUCUGGUCUUAUGUGCUUUUGGUUGGCUUCAACUGUUUCUGACCGGACGCUACUAUAUCCAAAGCGUUAUGAAGUGUGACCGGCGCUGGAGAGAAUGCAGAGACUUGGAGGGUAGGCUUGCUGUUCUUAAGGGAUCAUCAAGGGUCCAGGACUUUGAUGAUGGACAUCAGUGUCACAUCGUCUUGGGAAUUAUGGCUCUGCUCUGUGUGGCCUCUUGCAUGCUUGCCAUGUUCAUCCUUUUCUUGGAGGCGUUUUCGGGUAACCUUGCCGAUGUGUGCAGGGGAAACUGAAGAGUAACUAAGCCAUGGAGGGUCAUAUUUCACUUUCAGUACAUUUGGAUGUAAAAGCUUAAUUUCGACUAGUUUAUUUACUUGUUAUUGCAUUUGUGUUGUCGUUUGAAUUUUGUUGCAUCCAAUCCAAUUGUCACCCCUCCUUGUCCCGAUAUUGAUUGCGCCAUUCUUGGGUAUGGGACUCAGGACCAGCUCUGAGAAUUUAGGGGCCCUAGAUGAGCCUUCGAAGUUGAGCUCUAGAGUUCUCUGACCUUAUCCUUAUAUUGAUAUGUAUAAAAUCAUCUUCUGCAA